rnacentral:rRNA from 1 species
UACGUAGGGGGCAAGCGUUGUCCGGAUUCAUUGGGCGUAAAGAGCGUGUAGGCGGCCAGGUAGGUCGGUUGUGAAAACUGGAGGCUCAACCUUCAGAGGUCGACCGAAACCAUCUGGCUAGAGUCCGGGAGAGGAGAGUGGAAUUCCUGGUGUAGCGGUGAAAUGCGUAGAGAUCGGGAGGAAGGCCGGUGGCGAAGGCGGCGCUCUGGAACAUUUCUGACGCUGAGGCUCGAAAGCGUGGGGAGCAAACAGG